rnacentral:rRNA from 1 species
AUUGAACGCUGGCGGCAGGCUUAACAUAUGCAAGUCGAGCGGGGGAAGGUAGCUUGCUACCGGACCUAGCGGCGGACGGGUGAGUAAUGCUUAGGGAUCUGCCUAUUAGUGGGGGACAACAUCUCGAAAGGGAUGCUAAUACCGCAUACGUCCUACGGGAGAAAGCAGGGGAUCUUCGGACCUUGCGCUAAUAGAUGAGCCUAAGUCGGAUUAGCUAGUUGGUGGGGUAAAGGCCUACCAAGGCGACGAUCUGUAGCAGGUCUGAGAGGAUGAUCCGCCACACUGGGACUGAGACACGGCCCAGACUCCUACGGGAGGCAGCAGUGGGGAAGAUUGGACAAUGGGGGGAACCCUGAUCCAGCCAUGCCGCGUGUGUGAAGAAGGCCUUAUGGUUGUAAAGCACUUUAAGCGAGGAGGAGGCUACUCUAGUUAAUACCUAGGGAUAGUGGACGUUACUCGCAGAAUAAGCACCGGCUAACUCUGUGCCAGCAGCCGCCGUAA